rnacentral:rRNA from 1 species
GUGGGGAAUCUUGCGCAAUGGGCGAAAGCCUGACGCAGCCAUGCCGCGUGAAUGAUGAAGGUCUUAGGAUUGUAAAAUUCUUUCACCGGUGAAGAUAAUGACUGUAGCCGGAGAAGAAGCCCCGGCUAACUUCGUGCCAGCAGCCGCGGUAAUACGAAGGGGGCUAGCGUUGCUCGGAUUUACUGGGCGUAAAGGGCGCGUAGGCGGACAGCUUAGUCAGAGGUGAAAGCCCAGGGCUCAACCUUGGAAUUGCCUUUGAUACUGGCUGUCUUGAGUUUGGGAGAGGUGAGUGGAACUCCGAGUGUGGAGGUGAAAUUCGUAGAUAUUCGGAAGAACACCAGUGGCGAAGGCGACUCACUGGCCCAAUACUGACGCUGAGGCGCGAAAGCGUGGGGAGCAAACAGGAUUAGAUACCCUGGUAGUCC